AGGGAGUUGAGAAGGUGAGGCAACUUUUCACAUGUUGCUUUUUACUGGUUACAUCUCCCGACAUCAAACUAGAUGCACAGAAAUUUG